CUUUCUUAUCGUUGGAGCUAGAAAACACGAAUGGAUGAAUAAGGCGAAAAAAGCUUGAGAGGUGGAGAAAGCCGAGGCAAAAAGGCGGAGCUUCUAUCUAAAAUCUCCAAACAAAUUGGUCUUCUUCGAUGGGCUAUACUCAAUAUUGUCUUCUUCGAAACUUGUUGGGUUCGUCGGACCGUUGACGAUAGGGAAGAUUUUCGGAGAAAUAUUUUCAAUUUGGGGUUUUUGUUGCAUUUUUGCGAGCCAAGCUAAAGCAACCAGGUUUCAUUUUCCCUCCCUUCUUUCCCUCUUUUUCUACUGCCAAUUGAGUUCUAUCGUUUUCAUUUUUUUUUUUACUGUCAACUCAGCCAUUUUAAAAUCCUGUCACCAAUAUUGUCACUGCAAUUCAGUUAGGCGUAUAGAAAAUCGAUUGACAAAAUUUUUCCAGAUGAGCUGGUAGCCAAAAAAAAAAAAAAGAGAACCAAAUGUUAGAUAACCUAAGACAAUAAUAUGAAUUGGCCCCAUUUCUCCCCACAUUUCACUUUCUCCCCACCUUUUACCAAACCCAUUUCCCCACUAAAUGGUCUUGUCAAUCGAAGAGAAACACACCCAUCAAGAUUACAUAGCCGACUUGGUUUCCAUCUCCAGCAAAUUUCGCUCAAUUGAACCGCGAAUAAGCCCAAGGUUUUCAGCUGUGUAACUAUUACUCUUGCAUAAAACCUUAUCUCUUACCCAUUUUGCCGUCGUAGUCGUGACUAUCUCCGGCCGACGUCGUUCAACGGUUCCGUUCUGAGGCCAAUUUCUUUGGACCUUAUCUUCGAACCAUUUUGCGAGUAAAGAUUAUUACUUGUUUCAUAUCCUCUACACAUUUGUUGUGAAGGUAUGUUUUUUUGGGUUUUUAUUUAAUCUUCAUGUUCUUUAAAACCUAUUGAUCUGUAGCUUAUAGCAUGGUAUGCGAUGAAUUUUAUUUUUUUUUUUGGUUCCGAUUUAAAUUUUCGUUAUUGAAUUUUUCAUUAUUUUGAUAUGUACUGAAAAAUAGAGGCAUUUAUAGCUUGUUGAAAUUGGUCCUAUCGAGUUUAGAUGAUAAAGUACUUGCAUAAUAUAUUUGUUUAGAAAUAUUAAAUCACUAUAUUUGGCUAGAGAAAAUGAAAUGGGAGCAGAUUUGAAUUGUGAUUUAUAUGGUCUGUUUUUCUGGUAAUGAUAGUAUCCCGUUUAAUUUUGAUGAUUUUCGGUUAUACCUGUAAGUGCAGCACGAUUGUAGCGAUUGGAAUGUUGUUUGAAUUCUUCAUUUUAUAGUAGAAUUUAUUAGUUGGAUUCUUAUGGGGGUAUAGAAUGUUGCUUAAGUUUUUAUCAAGCUGUUUUUUCGAGAUCUAUAUGUCAUUUUAGUUUGUAAUGAAAUCCUUUAAAUAUUGUUUGCCGCAUAGGGAUGAGAGGGAGGAAUUGUGGUGUUUGUCACAGUUGUAGAAGCACUGAGCACUACUUUGAAGAUUGCAAGAGGAAAGUUCGAUGUCCAUUGUGUGUAGUUAGAAUUCAGAAAUGUUUCAUGGUUGAAAAGGAAGACAGUAACAAAGGUAGACUAUUCAGAACUUGCAGUAGCUCCUACGGAUUUUUUGACUGGGUAAGAACAGAAUAAUCAAGUGGAGAGUUGAGUGUCAUUAAUGAAGAAGUGAUGAAUCUUACUGCCAAUGAGGAAGUCGACAAUUUGCCAAGCAUGUUCGAACAUCUAGCUCGAAUUGUCGAGAAAUGAAACAUUGAGAUUUAGUUGAACGUAAAAUUCCGCAAAGGAAAAGAGCACUCGAACGAUAAUGGAGAAGAAAGGGGCCAGCAUGAUUAUUAGUUUUAUUCAUUCUCGCACUCAAAAUAGUUUUGUGUUUGGGCUUGUAAUAUCGAGAGAUAAUGAAAAAAAUUGAAAAACCCAACAAUUUUCAUUUUGAAAGAAUGCCAUGAAG
rnacentral:lncRNA from 1 species